GACGAUUUUAGCCUUUCAUUGUGA
rnacentral:siRNA from 1 species